rnacentral:rRNA from 1 species
AUUCCUACGGGAGGCAGCAGUGAGGAAUAUUGCACAAUGGGCGAAAGCCUGAUGCAGCGACGCCGCGUGGACGAUGAAGGUUUUCGGAUCGUAAAGUCCUUUUCUGUGUGACGAGCAAGGACGGUAGCACAGGAAUAAGUGUCGGCUAACUACGUGCCAGCAGCCGCGGUAAU